GAGAGUGGAUUGUAGUUUGGAGAAGCAGUGUUGUUGACCAGAGGAUCAAGAGAGGGGAAAAAACUGCUCCAGCAGAGCAGAGGGACUCCCCAGGCACAGAGGACCAAGAGAAAUCCUGCCCAAAUGGGGAGACGGGGUCUCCUCCCUCGAUCAGAAAUCUGCAAAAACUGGGCCCCAGCAUGGGAACAGAAUCUGGGACCUUUUUGUUCCAAAGCACAGACCUCUGCCAUUUGAACUAAAGGAGCAACCUCUUAGCAGUAUCCCUCCCUGCAGGAGCCGGCCGCUGGUAUCUCCCUCGGCCGGAGCCAGGAAGUUCCUGAAUGCUCCACCAGCUCUGCCAGCAGCUGCUCUUCCCGCCCUCCUGGUGGCGGAAUGGAAGCCAAUUGUGGAC